UACGAAGGGUGCAAACGUUGCUCGGAAUUAUUGGGCGUAAAGCGCACGUAGGCGGCAUUGCAAGUCGGAUGUGAAAUCCCUCGGCUUAACCAAGGAAGUGCAUCCGAAACUGCAGUGCUUGAGUACUUAAGAGGAUCGCGGAAUUCCCGGUGUAGAGGUGAAAUUCGUAGAUAUCGGGAGGAACACCAGUGGCGAAGGCGGCGAUCUGGGAAGAUACUGACGCUGAGGAACGAAAGCCAGGGGAGCGAACGGG
rnacentral:rRNA from 1 species